rnacentral:tRNA from 1 species
GGGUGGUUAGCUCAGCGGUAGAGCUUCUCGUUUACACCGAGGAGGUCGGGGGUUCGAAUCCCUCACCACCCACCA